ACGGGGGCCCGCACAAGCGGUGGAGCAUGUGGUUAAUUCGAAGCAACGCGAAGAACCUUACCAGGCCUUGACAUGCAGAGAACUUUCCAGAGAUGGAUUGGUGCCUUCGGGAACUCUGACACAGGUGCUGCAUGGCUGUCGUCAGCUCGUGUCGUGAGAUGGUUGGGUUAAGUCCCGUAACGAGCGCAACCCUUGUCCUUAGUUACCAGCACGUUAUGGUGGGCACUCUAAGGAGACUGCCGGUGACAAACCGGAGGAAGGUGGGGAUGACGUCAAGUCAUCAUGGCCCUUACGGCCUGGGCUACACACGUGCUACAAUGGUCGGUACAAAGGGUUGCCAAGCCGCGAGGUGGAGCUAAUCCCAUAAAACCGAUCGUAGUCCGGAUCGCAGUCUGCAACUCGACUGCGUGAAGUCGGAAUCGCUAGUAAUCGUGAAAUCAGAAUGUCACGGUGAAUACGUUCCCGGGCCUU
rnacentral:rRNA from 1 species